UUUAAAGACCUUAAAACCCUUUUCUUCUAGCCAUGAAAUAAUUCAGGCUUAAUUCGGAGCAGAAAGAGCUGCACUGGUUAGCAGGUGUGAAGAUGUACCAAGGAUGAAAGCUCCAGCAGACAAAGCAACAGAAGUUUUAAAAGAUAGACACUUUUACCAGCUUUCAAGACUCACAAGAGGAAAAAGAACACCCCAUGGAUACAUUAACCAUUAGCACCUAACCCUGGUACAAGUAAAAUUUCAGCAAACAAGGAAAAAAAUCAGGUAAAUGUCUAAGUUUGUGCUCUCUGGAAACAAUUUAUCAUCCUUGAACGAUGAUUUACACGCAAGUUUAGAAUGUGGGGUGGAAAGUUCAUAGGACACUAUCUUCACAGCAUGCCUUGUGACCCAUGUAUUUUUGAAGGAAUCCAUAUCAGACUGAAUGAAAUAUUCUUUAUGUAUUAAUAGUAAACCAAUGUUCCCAGUUAACUAGUGUCCUCCUGCCCACUGGGACUCCCCUCCACUUAAAUAGGGAUCUUCU
rnacentral:lncRNA from 1 species